rnacentral:rRNA from 1 species
GACGAACGCUGGCGGCGUGCCUAACACAUGCAAGUCGAACGGACAGGCCCUGCUUUUGUGGGGUGCUCGAGUGGCGAACGGGUGAGUAACACGUGAGUAACCUGCCCUUGUCUUUGGGAUAACUUCAGGAAACUGGGGCUAAUACCGGAUAGGAGCUCCUGCUGCAUGGUGGGGGUUGGAAAGUUUCGGCGGUUGGGGAUGGACUCGCGGCUUAUCAGCUUGUUGGUGGGGUAGUGGCUUACCAAGGCUUUGACGGGUAGCCGGCCUGAGAGGGUGACCGGCCACAUGGGGACUGAGAUACGGCCCAGACUCCUACGGGAGGCAGCAGUGGGGAAUAUUGCACAAUGGGCGGAAGCCUGAUGCAGCAACGCCGCGUGCGGGAUGACGGCCUUCGGGUUGUAAACCGCUUUCGCCUGUGACGAAGCGUGAGUGACGGUAAUGGGUAAAGAAGCACCGGCUAACUACGUG